GAUGAACGCUGACAGAAUGCUUAACACAUGCAAGUCGAUUUGAUUUACCUUCGGGUAUUGAGGAUGGCGGACGGGUGAGUAACGCGUAAGGAACUUGCCUCUUGGACUGGGACAACUGUUGGAAACGACAGCUAAUACCGGAUACUAUGAGAUUCUCGCAUGGGAAACUUAUGAAAGCUAUAUGCGCCAAGAGAGAGCCUUGCGUUCCAUUAGCUAGUUGGUGGGGUAAUGGCCCACCAAGGCGACGAUGGAUAGCCGGCCUGAGAGGGUGAACGGCCACAAGGGGACUGAGACACGGCCCUUACUCCUACGGGAGGCAGCAGUGGGGAAUAUUGGACAAUGGGCCACAAGCCUGAUCCAGCAAUUCUGUGUGCACGAUGAAGGUCUUCGGAUCGUAAAGUGCUUUCAGUUGGGAAGAAGAAAGUGACGGUACCAACAGAAGAAGCGACGGCUAAAUACGUGCCAGCCGCCG
rnacentral:rRNA from 1 species